rnacentral:tRNA from 1 species
GCCCGGGUGGCGGAAUCGGCAGACGCAACGGACUUAAAAUCCGUUGUCCGAAAGGACGUGCGGGUUCAAGUCCCGCCCCGGGCACCA